rnacentral:tRNA from 2 species
UCCAUGGUAGCUCAAUGGUGGAGCAUCCGGCUGUUAACCGGAGGGUUGGAGGUUCGAGUCCUCUCCAUGGAGCCA